UGCGUAGGCGGUUUGGUAAGUCUUGUGUGAAAUCUUCGGGCUCAACUCGAAGUCUGCACGAGAAACUGCCGGGCUUGAGUGUGGGAGAGGUGAGUGGAAUUUCCGGUGUAGCGGUGAAAUGCGUAGAUAUCGGAAGGAACACCUGUGGCGAAAGCGGCUCACUGGACCAUAACUGACGCUGAGGCACGAAAGCUAGGGGAGCAAACAGGAUUAGAUACCCUGGUAGUCCUAGCCCUAAACGAUGAUCGCUUGGUGUGACGGGUACCCAAUCCCGCCGUGCCGCAGCUAACGCGUUAAGCGAUCCGCCUGGGGAGUACGGUCGCAAGGCUGAA
rnacentral:rRNA from 1 species